AUUGAACGCUGGCGGCAUGCUUUACACAUGCAAGUCGAACGGGGGUGGGGGCAACUCCACCUCAGUGGCGGACGGGUGAGUAAUGCAUCGGAACGUAUCCUGAAGUGGGGGACAACCCAGCGAGAGCUGGGCUAAUACCGCAUAUUCUCGGGAGAGGAAAGCAGGGGACCUGAAAGGGCCUUGUGCUUUAGGAGCGGCCGAUGUCCGAUUAGCUGGUUGGUGGGGUAACGGCCUACCAAGGCGACGAUCGGUAGCUGGUCUGAGAGGAUGAUCAGCCACACUGGGACUGAGACACGGCCCAGACUCCUACGGGAGGCAGCAGUGGGGAAUUUUGGACAAUGGGGGCAACCCUGAUCCAGCCAUGCCGCGUGCGGGAAGAAGGCCUUCGGGUUGUAAACCGCUUUUGGUCGGGAAGAAAGGGCGCCGGAUAAUACCUGGCGCUGUUGACGGUACCGGCAGAAUAAGCACCGGCUAACUACGUGCCAGCCGCCGCAGUAAAAC
rnacentral:rRNA from 1 species